rnacentral:rRNA from 1 species
UGGCGGCGUGCCUAAUACAUGCAAGUCGAGCGGACCGACGGGAGCUUGCUCCCUUAGGUCAGCGGCGGACGGGUGAGUAACACGUGGGUAACCUGCCUGUAAGACUGGGAUAACUCCGGGAAACCGGGGCUAAUACCGGAUGCUUGAUUGAGCCGCAUGGUUCAAUUAUAAAAGGUGGCUUUCAGCUACCACUUACAGAUGGACCCGCGGCGCAUUAGCUAGUUGGCGAGGUAACGGCUCACCAAGGCGACGAUGCGUAGCCGACCUGAGAGGGUGAUCGGCCACACUGGGACUGAGACACGGCCCAGACUCCUACGGGAGGCAGCAGUAGGGAAUCUUCCGCAAUGGACGAAAGUCUGACGGAGCAACGCCGCGUGAGUGAUGAAGGUUUUCGGAUCGUAAAACUCUGUUGUUAGGGAAGAACAAGUGCCGUUCGAAUAGGGCGGCACCUUGACGGUACCUAACCAGAAAGCCACGGCUAACUACGUGCCAGCAGCCGCGG